rnacentral:rRNA from 1 species
CGACCGGGGCGACAGCAAUAUGAAGGUCAGGCUGAAGACCUUACCCGAUUAGCUGAGAGGUGGUGCAUGGCCGUCGUCAGUUCGUACUGUGAAGCAUCCUGUUAAGUCAGGCAACGAGCGAGACCCACGUCCACAGUUGCCAGCAUACCCUCCGGGGUGAUGGGUACACUGUGGAGACCGCCGCUGCUAAAGCGGAGGAAGGAGUGGGCAACGGUAGGUCAGUAUGCCCCGAAUCUCCCGGGCUACACGCGGGCUACAAUGGUUGGUACAAUGGGCAUCUACCCCGAAAGGGGAAGGAAAUCUCUUAAAGCCAAUCGUAGUUCGGAUUGAGGGCUGCAACCCGCCCUCAUGAAGCUGGAAUCCGUAGUAAUCGCGUUUCAACAGAACGCGGUGAAUACGUCCCUGCUCCUU